UACGUAGGGUGCGAGCGUUAAUCGGAAUUACUGGGCGUAAAGCGUGCGCAGGCGGCUCGUUAAGACAGGUGUGAAAGCCCCGAGCUUAACUUGGGAAUUGCGCUUGUGACUGGCGUGCUGGAGUGUGGCAGAGGGAGGUGGAAUUCCACGUGUAGCAGUGAAAUGCGUAGAGAUGUGGAGGAACACCGAUGGCGAAGGCAGCCUCCUGGGCCAGCACUGACGCUCAUGCACGAAAGCGUGGGGAGCAAACGGG
rnacentral:rRNA from 1 species